GUAGGGAAUAUUGCGCAAUGGGGGAAACCCUGACGCAGCAACGCCGCGUGAGUGAUGAAGGCUUUCGGGUCGUAAAGCUCUGUUGCAAGGGAAAAAGAAAGUGAUUGUACCUUGCGAGGAAGGACCGGCAAACUUCGUGCCAGCAGCCGCGGUAAUACGAGGGGUCCUAGCGUUGUUCGGAAUCAUUGGGCGUAAAGCGCUCGUAGGUGGCUUAGUAAGUCGGGUGUGAAAGCCCCGGGCUCAACCCGGGAAGUGCACUCGAAACUGCAUAGCUUGAGUACGGUAGAGGUGAGUGGAAUUCCAGGUGUAGUGGUGAAAUACGUAGAUAUCUGGAGGAACAUCGGUGGCGAAGGCGGCUCACUGGACCAGUACUGACACUGAGGAGCGAAAGCAUGGGGAUCAAACAGGAUUAGAAACCCCGGUAGUCC
rnacentral:rRNA from 1 species